rnacentral:tRNA from 1 species
AAAGGGAGACCUAAUUCAGGUAAAAGACGAAAAAAAAGUAGUCGCUACCAAGAAUCAAUCCCAAAAGGUCGGAGCGAGGCGAAAUUGGCUUUCAAACUAGGUUCUGGGUUCAAACAAGACCUGAAUCAGGAACAAGGGCUAUUAGCUCAGGUGGUUAGAGCGCACCCCUGAUAAGGGUGAGGUCCCUGGUUUGAGUCCAGGGUGGCCCACCUGCACAGGUGGCAAAAACAAGAGAAGCGAGGAAUCAGCACCUUAUCUUACUUAUAUAGUAAGAGAGAAUGCUGGCUCUGAGUAAAGAGUCCAGAGGAACCUUGAAAACUGCAUAGAGCUAGGUGAAAAAGCCAAAAAAGAAGACCGCAAG